rnacentral:tmRNA from 1 species
UUAGGCAGACCUUAUCUGUAGAAGGUUAAACAGAUGACUUUCUAACCCCAGCUUGAAGGUUAGAACGUAUUACAAGCUACCGGACCGUUGAGUUUGUCAGUAGACAAGGCGGAAGGGGAAUACUCUAAAUACUGACUGCACCCGGAGAUUCUCUUGAGAAUGUAAUUUCGGACAGGGGUUCGACUCCCCUCGCUUCCACCA